UGGGGAAUUUUGGACAAUGGGCGAAAGCCUGAUCCAGCAAUGCCGCGUGUGUGAAGAAGGCCUUCGGGUUGUAAAGCACUUUUGUCCGGAAAGAAAUCCUUGGCUCUAAUACAGUCGGGGGAUGACGGUACCGGAAGAAUAAGCACCGGCUAACUACGUGCCAGCAGCCGCGGUAAUACGUAGGGUGCAAGCGUUAAUCGGAAUUACUGGGCGUAAAGCGUGCGCAGGCGGUUUGCUAAGACCGAUGUGAAAUCCCCGGGCUCAACCUGGGAACUGCAUUGGUGACUGGCAGGCUAGAGUAUGGCAGAGGGGGGUAGAAUUCCACGUGUAGCAGUGAAAUGCGUAGAGAUGUGGAGGAAUACCGAUGGCGAAGGCAGCCCCCUGGGCCAAUACUGACGCUCAUGCACGAAAGCGUGGGGAGCAAGCAGGAUUAGAUACCCUGGUAGUCCACGCCCUAAACGAUGUCAACUAGUUGUUGGGGAUUCAUUUCCUUAGUAACGUAGCUAACGCGUGAAGUUGACCGCCUGGGGAGUACGGUCGCAAGAUUAAAACUUAAAUGAAUUGACGGGGUCAUAGCUGUUUCCU
rnacentral:rRNA from 1 species